UUGUGGAGGAGGACGCCGAAGGUGGGGCUAGUGACUGGGGUGAAGUCGUAACAAGGUAGCCGUACCGGAAGGUGCGGCUGGAUCACCUCCUAACAGGGAGACAACAAAAUGUUAAAUAUUAAUUUUGUCACCUUAGGUCGAUCGGUAUCUCACAUUCUUAAUUUAUUUAAGGAUUUUAUUUCCUAAGUUUUUUCUAGGUCACACCCAUUACUUUUCCUGGGCCAUUAGCUCAGGUGGUUAGAGCGCACCCCUGAUAAGGGUGAGGUCCCUGGUUCAAGUUCAGGAUGGCCCAUAUCUCUAUGUUGGGGGUAUAGCUCAGUUGGUAGAGCGCCUGCUUUGCAAGCAGGAUGUCAGCGGUUCGAGUCCGCUUACCUCCACUGAUCACCACCUCUUCCAUAAUUUAUAGAAGGGAAUCGUUUUGAGUUUUGGUCAAAUUCUGAAAGAAUCUAGCCUCUUAAUCAUUUUUAUUAAGAUGCUGGACUCAUUGAAUUAAUUUCAUUGUUUUCAGAGAACCUUGACAACUGCAUAGAUUAUUUUUAAAGACAAUAAGCAUCUUUAAUGAUGCAGAUUUAUUAUUUGUGCAAAUGCAUUAAUAACAAUUCUAUUAAGCUGAUGCUUCAAUUUUGAAGUUAUUGGUCAAGCUACAA
rnacentral:misc_RNA from 1 species